AUGGUGUUUGUGUUUAUUAAAUGAAAAGGAGUGAAUUAAACAGUAUGGGAUCAUAAAUGGAGAAGCUUACAGAAGAUAAGCCUUUCAAGUGAAGGAGAGUAAGGAAAGUGGUUGGGUAUUUUAAGAAGUGAAGAACCAUGUCCUGUGUGUGGAAUUGAAGAUAUUGAUCAACUAUUCCCACAAGAAGAAGCAUUUCCUUACAGGGUACCAUGGAUGUGAGGCAAUAUAAAUCCAAAGGACAAGCAACUUUCCUGCACAUUCAGUAUACAUUGUUUGCUCACAACAGGACUCAAACCAAUUAACAUUCUAAGGAAAAACUCUGCUAGGGAAAUUAAACUUAGGUGUCACAUCCAAUACUCUUAUUACUCAAUUCUAGUUAAUGUACUGAAAUGGUUUAUUUGAAUAAAUUCACAAUUGUUUGAAA